UAUCUUUUCAGAUAAUGACACGUGGCGCAAUUUUGAACGAGUUAAAAUCUGAUCAAAAUCUAUCGUCAAAGAUUCUCAAAAGAUAACGACACGUGACACGAUGACAUUGGAUAAAAAUCUUAUCGAAAUCGAUCUCCAAUAAUUAUCUUUUCGGAUAAUGACACGUGGCGCAAUUUUGAACGAGUUAAAAUCUGAUUAAAAUCUAUCGUUAAAGAUUCUCAAAAGAUAACGACACGUGGCACGAUGACAUUGGAUAAAAAUCUUAUCGAAAUCCAUCGCUAAAUAAUUGUUUUUUUUUAUAAAAUGACACGUGGCGCAACGAGAACGAUUUAAAAAAUCUUAUCCGAAAUUACAAAU
rnacentral:lncRNA from 1 species